UGAGGAGGGAAAAUUAUCCAAUGACUUCUCCCACCUUGGGCGAGGCGAGAGGGAGUGUCAGACUCUUACUAACUAAAAACCACCCCGUUCCUACUCCUGCUUGUCGAGCCGGAGCCCCGGUAAACCCGCUAGGUAGUCCGCAGCUCCGGUGUAUAACAAUAGCUAUUGUCUCUGUACUAAAUCUAUCUUUAUUUUCUUAUCUACAUACUGAAUGACUUGGUAGUUAAAUACUGGAUAUACACUAACUAGGUAACUCUCAGUGCCUAGUUGGGUAAAAGACUAUAAUGGUUUCAAAUUGUUGAACUGCUGUACUUGGAGUCCUUGUUAAAAUAAUUUCUAUUUAUAUAAAUGUAAUAUCCAUUAAAAUAAUGUUGAAACUAAAACUAAUUUCAUUUCAUUUUUUGUUUAUUUUAUUUUUUAUUAAGUCGAUUUAUGAGGGAGGGAUGUUAGCAUUUAUAAAAUAUAAAACAAAUUAUUUUUACGGUUUACUCACAUAAAUUAAUGGAGAAAAGCUCUACUAGUUUCGAGUCACAGAGGGACUCUUCAUCAUGCUACGUUGCUGUGGAUGCGUUUGGCUUCCACCAAUCAUAUUCAUUGGUACACAUAGCUUAGUACUAAUGGAAAUGAGCUCAGCUAACCUAUGUUUUUAUAUGGAAAGAUGCGUACUAAGGAUGGCUUCCCUACUAUCGAUGAGCAUCUUCCUCGCACAGCUACAUAGCUUAGUAUCAGUGGAAACGGUCACAUAGUUUCACAGCUUAGCUAUUACAUCUUCGUAGCAUAGCUACAUAGCACAUCUCUGGGGGAAGCACACUAAUAUAAAAUUGUUUUUUCUUUAUCAUUUAAUAAUUAUAAUGUAUGUAUGUUUGUAAAUACUACAGUGCCUUAAUUUUUGUUAAAUAACAUCAUACCUGUAGAUCCUUGAGGGAUAGGCAGAGAUGACCAGUAUAUCGACAUUUCUCCCUCAAUUUCCAGUAGAUUCCAUUAUAAUAUUAUUUGUAUGUAAUGUGUAUGUAUGUGUGUAUAACUGUAGUCUGAUCACAACUGUGUGUGUGAGGUGGUAGUUGUUCCAAAUAUAGGCGGUUAUUGUUACAUAA